rnacentral:misc_RNA from 1 species
GAUGAAGAACGCAGCGAAAUGCGAUAAUUAAUGUGAAUUGCAGAAUUCCGUGAAUCAUCGAGUCUUUGAACGCACAUUGCGCCUCAUGGCAUUCCGUGAGGCAUGCCCAUCUCAGCGUUAGAAAAUAUUCUCAAAUUUUAGUUUUGUGCUAAAAUUUGGAUCAUGUCAAGGAAGCUAUUACUAUUAUUGUGAUCGCUCUUGGAAAUUGAUAGGUCUUUGAGUUGCUACUCAUAGAACGUGAUGAAUCUUUCUUCGUUCUAUUGUAAUUCACUCUGGUAGUCCUAAAACUUGUAUGCCUGUGGCAUAUCUUGUAAUUUGACCUGAGAUUGGGUAGGGAUACCCGCUGAACUUAAGCAUAUCAAUAAGCGGAGGA